UGUUAGGUCAAGGUGCAGUUUAUAAAAGGUUAUAAUGGGUUACAUUAAAAAUUAUGAAUGGAUUUUAUAUAUGGUAAAUAAUUUAAAUAGGAUUUAAAAGUAAAAGUUGUUUAUUAGAAACGUGAUGAAUUUAGAUUCUAAAAUAUGUACACAUUGCCCGUCGCUCUUGUUGAAAAUAAGAUAAGUCGUAACAUAGUAGAAGCACCGGAAGGUGCUUCUGGAAUUAAUGGGAGUAAAUAGUUUAAUUUAAAAUGUAUUAUUUACAUUGAUGAGAUAUUGUUUUUGAUUUUACUUUUAGGUAUUAGUUAAAGAAUUAAUUGAUAAUAUACUUUGAAGGGGGGGGGAGAACACUUUAAAGUAUAUUAAAAGAAAUUUAAUUAAUUGUACCUUUUGUAUCAGGAAUAAUUAAAAUUAUUUUUGUAGUAAAAUUUUCUCGAAAAAGAAAGAGUUAAAUUUAUAUUAUUUUUAUUGUUUCAUAAUUAAUUUUAAUAUAUUUUUAGGAGUGAUAUAUUAUUCAUUUUCUUAUAUCUAGUUAUUUUUGGAAUUAAUUUAAUUAUUUAUUUUUUUGUUUAAUAAUUGUUAAAAAUUAAUUUAGGGAUAAGCUUGAAUUAAGUUUUAUAGAAGGUGAACUAUAAGACAUAUUUUGAGCUUAAAAUUAGCUAUUAAUUAAUUGUUAUGUAAAAAUUAAUUGUUGAAUAUUAUUAUUUUUAGUUUUCUUUGGAGGGGAGCCAAAGUUAAUUAAUUAAAUAAUGUAAUUAGUGAAAAAAUGGUUGUAUUAGUAGAUCGGUUUAUUAAUUAAUAAGAAUUCGGCUAUAUUAAAUUUCGUCUGUUUAUCAAAAACAUUUUGUGAGUUUAUAUGUUUAUAAUAUUGCCUGCUCUAU
rnacentral:rRNA from 1 species